AAAAAACCGAGACACACACUACCCUUUCCCCCGACCCGCUACUGUGCACUACCCUAGCGGUUCUAACAUCGUUCCCCUCUCCCCUUAGUUCGAUUAACAGAUUUCUAGGCGGGGAGGGGGUUCUUUUCAAAGCCGGCCACGUUUCUUAGUGCUGGACUUAAACUAGGGCUAAAGAGAGAGAUUAGUGCCCCCCAAUCCCCAAAGACUCCAACUUCUGCUACACCAAUAAAAGUCUUAAUAGGGGCAUCAAAUAAAAAUAAGAUAUAGUGGAUAGACCUGCCGCGCCUUCCUGAUUUUCCAGGUUUAACUGAUCGCGUGUCGCAGCCGAAGAGGGCAGUCGCCUAGGUGUGCGCCCCGUUGUUGUUGGUUUAGGCCACCCGCCUGCCCCUUGAACUCCUGCCUCCUACCGCCACCUCAAGGGGUAGUGGAACGCCCUCGAGAUGUCCUUGCGGUAGUGCUUGACU
rnacentral:rRNA from 1 species